GCCCGAACCUCCGCCUGGCUUUAAAAUGCCUGGUUGUUCAACGGAGGAUUGUACGAAUUCUUCGGUGAAGAGAUUUAAAAUGGUAAGCAGGGCUGGAGAUAUUGUGUACACCAUAACUAAUGCUGAAAAAAGGUGUUCUGGGAGAUCGGCGAUAUCUCUGUCAUUUUUCAUU